rnacentral:lncRNA from 1 species
GAAUGGAAUAGUAGUCCGGUAAGAAUGGCAAAAGCUGACCGGAGACAGUAUCGGAGGCAUCGUGGAUGGAGGCAGGGCUUUCUUUGCUGUAGAUUCUGAAAAAAAGUUCUAUAUCAUGCAUAGGUUAUACAAAUUUAUUAUUUUUGCAUAUCAAAAAUACAUCAUCCCCUUCUUCCCUCGCUUGGCGUGUAAUAAUGUGCAGUAGGUUUAGAGUGUCUUCUUGGUGCUUCAGAGUUUUUGUCAUGCAAAUUUAGCUGUAAGCAAAGCAAUAUGCUAUAAUUUCUGUAAUACCCGAUUUUGCCCGGGUAUAGAAGGCCCGAAUUACAGCAGGCCUACAUGGCCCAAACCCGAAAUAAAACAAAGCCCCAAAAUUACAAACCCAGUGGUCCAAAACAAUUUCAGAAACCCCUAGGGUUUCUGGGGUAAACGUUCACGCCGCAACCAUGUCCUCCGCACGAGCCGAAUCUCCACGCGCGCCUUCACCUGCACAGCAAGAAAGGAAAUAUAUGGCAAGAAAAUCAAAGAUUUGCAAAAUCAAAUUGAUAUGAACAGAUUUGCUUCUUUAUAUUGUUUAAUUAUGGCUAUAAAAAGCCAUUAAAGAUUAAAAGGGAUUAGAAAAUCAAUAAAAAAGUAGCAUUUCGCACAAAAAGAGGAAUCGAAAAUACAAAUAGAGAGUUCAAUACUGAGAAAGCAGAAAUCAAUUCAAAAGGUUGAUAUCAACAGUUUUUUUUCCUUUUUCGUUAGUCUACUGUUAUUAUAUAUAUUUUUUAUUUACAUACAAAUAAAAUAAAUAAGAGAAAGAAAGAAACAACUUUUCUUUUGAUUUUGAAACGAAGCUGAGAUGGUCGAGAGAGCCAUCCCCGAGGAUCGAUGGUCGGAAACCGAAAGGUUUCUUGAUUUCUUCGCGUUUUUUGUUGAUUUUUUGGAGACUUUGAACUCGGAUUUGGGUUUAGAAAGGUCGAAAGGAUCGAAUAGGAGAUUUUCUCCUUUUCCGGCUACCGCAGAUGGCGAUGCCAUCGCCGGAGAUCAGCGGCCGGCGCGGUGGCCGUCGAUCGGCCGGUGCCCGGGCCCCUGGCCGGACUUAUCGAAGGGAGUGUUUUU